rnacentral:rRNA from 1 species
UACAGAGGUCCCAAGCGUUGUUCGGAUUCAUUGGGCGUAAAGGGUGCGUAGGCGGCGCGGUAAGUCGGGUGUGAAAUCUCGGGGCUUAACUCCGAAACUGCAUUCGAUACUGCCGUGCUUGAGGACUGGAGAGGAGACUGGAAUUUACGGUGUAGCGGUGAAAUGCGUAGAUAUCGUAAGGAAGACCAGUGGCGAAGGCGGGUCUCUGGGCCGAUAUCGACGCUGAGGAGCGAAAGCGUGGGGAGCGAACAGG